AGGGGAAAUAGAGGGGUUACUGCUAAUAACCUCGUGUCAGUUAGAUUUGACUUCUCCUU
rnacentral:tRNA from 1 species